CCAGGCCUAGGAACUCUACCCGUGCAUGAAUUUCAUGCACUGGGCCUCUAGUGAGUAAUAGUAGGAGCUACAGUUUAGUGAAUGGUUUUGAUAUGGCAGGUCAGAGAGGUUGAGUGACUCAUUGAAGUUUACACAUCGUGAAACCAGCUGAAGCAGUUUCCACACCAGGAUCACAGCAACGUCUAUACUCGUAACCACUCUGCAGCCUCCAAGAGUGGGAGACCGAGCGAGUGAGAGCACGAGAGUAAAUGCCCACAGAGAAAAAGGUCUGCCGGAUUCAUGGGGCAAUUCCUAUAGCCCGAUGCCCUGCCCCUCCCAUUAUCCACUGCACUCUUUUGAUGGGGUCAAAAACUAUUUGGUCAUUCGGUAGAAAGCAACAAAGGACAGGAAUCCAAAAAGAGAAAAAAUUCAAACUGCAAGAGCAAAUGAACAGCUCAUCAGUGAAGUCAUGUAAUAAAAUCUGAAGCAUGUGGUUAUUGAUGAAAUCUGUGAAAUUCCUUCCUAUCCUGGGAUAGGAACUGGUCACUCAAGAAAGGCACGUCUCUUUACAUUUGGGAUCUAAACCCACAUUACCUGGCUUGAUCACCCAAUUUGCUUACCAGGUUCACUUCAAAUGAUUCUUGGCAACUUCCAAGAGUCAAAUUCAUCCUAGAAUGUAUGAGGUCCUUACCCAUAAAGGAGGUAUUUGAGACAAGUAGGACAGGUUCUAAGAAUAACAUCGAUUAAGUUCCAAACUAUUUGGAGCAAUGGCAGUAUUGUUGGAUUGUGUACACAAGCAGUUAAUGACUUUGCAAAAGAAUUUUUAAUUUACAAGAACCACUUUGCAGGAGGACUGAACAGUCUCAUUCCUUCAGAGCCACUUACUGAAAAUCUGCUAUCCAGAGAUGUCAACAGAUGCUGCACUUGGCUUAGUCUUUAGUAACAAGUGUUAAUUGGGUCUCUGUCCUCCAAGAAGCUUCCUAGCUACUGAAAAGAAUCCCAAAAACAUGGAAAAUAAAGGUCUUUGUAUUCCCUCCCACUUCGAAUACCAAUUUUUAAAAAUUAAAAUGUCUUUCACCUCCA